ensembl:rRNA 5S_rRNA 5S ribosomal RNA
GCCUGGUUAGUACUUGGAUGGGAGACCAACUGGGAAUACCGGGU